rnacentral:sRNA from 1 species
GAUUCUGCAGCUGCAAUUUUAUGGAAUGUUUUCCUUCUCCACAUCUCAUGUGCUGCUCUUAUUACAGGACACAGCAUUGUUGGUUUUGCCAUGUACUAUUUUACCUAUGACCCGUGGAUUGGCAAGUUAUUGUAUCUUGAGGACUUCUUCGUGAUGAGUGAUUAUAGAGGUACGAUUGAGUUCGGAGCAGAGGGUCUGAAGAGAGUUCAGGGUUAUCAAUCCUUACAACGACUUUUUAAAUUGUACUUCUCUUUCUUUUUAGGCUUUGGCAUAGGAUCAGAAAUUCUGAAGAAUCUAAGCCAGGUUGCAAUGAAGUGUCGCUGCAGCAGCAUGCACUUCUUGGUAGCAGAAUGGAAUGAACCAUCCAUCAACUUCUAUAAAAGAAGAGGUGCUUCUGAUCUGUCCAGUGAAGAGGGUUGGAGACUGUUCAAGAUCGACAAGGAGUACUUGCUAAAAAUGGCAACAGAGGAGUGAGGAGUGCUGGCGUAGAUGACAACCUCCAUUCUAUUUUAGAAUAAAUUCCCAACUUAUCUUGCUUUCUAUGCUGUUUGUAGUGAAAUAAUAGAAUGAGCACCCAUUCCAAAGCUUUAUUACCAGUGGCGUUGUUGCAUGUUUGAAAUGAGGUCUGUUUAAAGUGGCAAUCUCAGAUGCAGUUUGGAGAGUCAGAUCUUUCUCCUUGAAUAUCUUUCGAUAAACAACAAGGUGGUGUGAUCUUAAUAUAUUUGAAAAAAACUUCAUUCUCGUGAGUCAUUUAAAUGUGUACAAUGUACACACUGGUACUUAGAGUUUCUGUUUGAUUCUUUUUUAAUAAACUACUCUUUGAUUUAA